UGGGGAAUAUUGCACAAUGGGCGCAAGCCUGAUGCAGCCAUGCCGCGUGUAUGAAGAAGGCCUUCGGGUGGUAAAGUACUUUCAGCGGGGAGGAAGGGAGUAAAGUUAAUACCUUUGCUCAUUGACGUUACCCGCAGAAGAAGCACCGGCUAACUCCGUGCCAGCAGCCGCGGUAAUACGGAGGGUGCAAGCGUUAAUCGGAAUUACUGGGCGUAAAGCGCACGCAGGCGGUUUGUUAAGUCAGGUGUGAAAUCCCCGGGCUCAACCUGGGAACUGCAUCUGAUAAUGGCAAGCUUGAGUCUCGUAGAGGGGGGUAGAAUUCCAGGUGUAGCGGUGAAAUGCGUAGAGAUCUGGAGGAAUACCGGUGGCGAAGGCGGCCCCCUGGACGAAGACUGACGCUCAGGUGCGAAAGCGUGGGGAGCAAACAGG
rnacentral:rRNA from 1 species